GAUGAACGCUGACAGAAUGCUUAACGCAUGCAAGUCUUUGGCGAAGCUGUGCUUGCACAGCCUAGCCAAGGCGGACGGGUGAGUAACGCGUAAGGAACUUGCCCUGCAGUCAGGGAUAACAGACGGAAACGACUGAUAAGACCUGGUAAAGUCAGGCGGACUCAUGUCCAGCCUGAUGAAAAGAGAUGCUGCAGGAGAGCCUUGCGUCCUAUUAGCUUGUUGGUGGGGUAACGGCCCACCAAGGCGAUGAUAGGUAGCCGGCCUGAGAGGGUGGACGGCCACAAGGGGACUGAGAUACGGCCCUUACUCCUACGGGAGGCAGCAGUGGGGAAUAUUGGACAAUGGGGGCAACCCUGAUCCAGCAAUUCUGUGUGCACGAUGAAGGUUUUCGGAUUGUAAAGUGCUUUCAGCAGGGAAGAAAAAAAUGACGGUACCUGCAGAAGAAGCGAUGGCUAAAUACGUG
rnacentral:rRNA from 1 species